rnacentral:rRNA from 1 species
GACGAACGCUGGCGGCGUGCCUAAUACAUGCAAGUCGAACGCAUUUUCUUUCACCGUAGCUUGCUACACCGAAAGAAAAUGAGUGGCGAACGGGUGAGUAACACGUGGGUAACCUGCCCAUCAGCGGGGGAUAACACUUGGAAACAGGUGCUAAUACCGCAUAAUUCCAUUUACUGCAUGGUAGAUGGAUGAAAGGCGCUUUUGCGUCACUGAUGGAUGGACCCGCGGUGCAUUAGCUAGUUGGUGGGGUAACGGCCUACCAAGGCUGCGAUGCAUAGCCGACCUGAGGGGGUGAUCGGCCACACUGGGACUGAGACACGGCCCAGACUCCUACGGGAGGCAGCAGUAGGGAAUCUUCGGCAAUGGACGCAAGUCUGACCGAGCAACGCCGCGUGAGUGAAGAAGGUUUUCGGAUCGUAAAACUCUGUUGUUAGAAAAGAACAAGGAUGAGAGUGGAAAGUUCAUCCCUUGACGGUAUCUAACCAGAAAGCCACGGCUAACUACGUG